rnacentral:rRNA from 1 species
UACGUAGGGUGCGAGCGUUAUCCGGAAUCAUUGGGCGUAAAGAGCUCGUAGGCGGUUCAGCAAGUCGGCUGUGAAAGUCCGAGGCUCAACCUCGGAAUUGCAGUCGAUACUGCUGUGACUCGAGUCCGGUAGAGGAGAACGGAAUUCCCGGUGUAGCGGUGAAAUGCGCAGAGAUCGGGAGGAACACCAGUAGCGAGGGCGGUUCUCUGGGCCGGCACUGACGAUGAGGAGCGAAAGCGUGGGGAGCGAACAGG